AGAAUCAUCCUGAAACGCUUAAUUUAUUCAAUCAUCUUCAGCAAUAAAUUUGUCCUGGUCAGAGUCACGGUAGUCUCACAAGUCAGAC